CCGACUGCUAUUUGGGUGAGACUAAGCCAUGCGAGUUGAAUGGGAUACCUAAAUUUCCCAUAGCAAACUGCUCAGUAACACAUGAUCAACUUACCCUAUGGAGAAAAAUAACCUCGGGAAACUGAGGAUAAUAUUUCAUAGUUGAGAAGGCUUGGAAAAGUUUUUCAAUGAAAGGGAUAAAAAAAAUGGUUUUUAUUUGCCAUAGGAUAGGAUCGUGGUCGAUUAUGGUAGUUGGCGAGAUAACGGCUCACCAAGCCGAUAAUCGAUAGGGGCCGUGAGAGCGGGAGCCCCGAGAUGGGUACUGAGACAACGACCCAGGCCUUACGAGGCGCAGCAGGCGCGGAACCUCCGCAAUACACGAAAGUGUGACGGGGUUACCCAAAGUGUCCAAAUUGGACUGUGGUAGGUGAGUAAUGUCCCCUACUAGAAAGGAGAGGGCAAGGCUGGUGCCAGCCGCCGCGGUAAAACCAGCUUUUCAAGUGGUCGGGAUAAUUAUUGGGCUUAAAGUGUCCGUAGCCGGUUUAGUAAGUUCCUGGUAAAAUCGGGUAGCUUAACUAUCUGUAUGCUAGGAAUGCUGCUAUACUAGGGGGCGGGAGAGGUCUGAGGUACUACGGGGGUAGGGGUGAAAUCUUAUAAUCCUUGUAGGACCACCAGUGGCGAAGGCGUCAGACUGGAACGCGCCUGACGGUGAGGGACGAAAGCCAGGGGAGCGAACCGGAUUAGAUACCCGGGUAGUCCUGGCCGUAAACGAUGCAUACUAGGUGAUGGCACGGCCAUGAGCCGUGUCAGUGCCGUAGGGAAACCGUUAAGUGUGCCGCCUGGGAAGUACGGUCGCAAGGCUAAAACUUAAAGGAAUUGGCGGGGGAGCACCACAAGGGGUGAAGCCUGCGGUUUAAUUGGAUUCAACGCCGGA
rnacentral:rRNA from 1 species